CCGGUUUUCACAAAUUUAAUUUUUCCUUCACGUUAUCCUCUUGCCUCUACCGACGGCCGAGCCUCUCGUCCGCGAGCGGCGGCAGUCCGUCUCUCGUUGCACCAGAGCAGUGGCCGCGGAGCCUCUACGUCCGCACGUCUUCUUGCCUCCCUCGUCCCACCCGAGUGGCGGCGAUGCUGCCUGGCCUCAUCCGUGACCCCACGCCGCUGCAGACGUCCCGCCGUCCUCCAGGACCCCACGCUGCUACAGAAGUUCCACGAUAGCCCACAGAGAUGGAAACCAAGCGAAGAUGGAGGCGAUGGUGGAACAGAACAAAUCAAGCUGCAACUGGUGUGCUUCGGUGGUGGCAUCCCGAUGAUUGAUAAUGGAUAGCUCUUAUUCCGCUGGUUACUUUUGCGUUAAAUGUAAAGACUUCGUCUAGAAACUCUGUCGUUUCUAUGUUAAGUUCUGCAGCUAAUACUAGCGUUAGGUUCUUGAGUAGAGUUUGAGGCUUUGUGGGUAGGGCUGUUCUGUGUAUCAGUUCCUGCCUCCUCACGCCUAAAAAUCAUGUAAUGCUCUGAAUCAUGCGUGCUGGUAACCCCAGCGAACUCGUCUUUUGCUUUCUAAUAAAGCAGAGCCAAAAGCCUUUGGUCUAAUCUUCUCUCAAA